rnacentral:rRNA from 1 species
UACGAAGGGGGCUAGCGUUGUUCGGAUUUACUGGGCGUAAAGCGCGCGUAGGCGGAUCGUUAAGUCGGGGGUGAAAUCCUGGAGCUCAACUCCAGAACUGCCUUCGAUACUGGCGAUCUAGAGUCCGGAAGAGGUGAGUGGAACUCCUAGUGUAGAGGUGAAAUUCGUAGAUAUUAGGAAGAACACCAGUGGCGAAGGCGGCUCACUGGUCCGGAACUGACGCUGAGGUGCGAAAGCGUGGGGAGCAAACAGG